GCAGGGCACAUGCCUGUAAUCCCAGCACUUGGGUGGAUUGCUUUGAGCUCGGGAGUUUGAGACCAGCCUGGGCAACAUAGUGAAACCCCGUCUCUGCAAAAAAGAAAAAAAAAUUAAUUGAGCAUGGUGGCUUGCACCUGUAGUCUCAGCUUCUUAGGAGGCUGAGCCUGGGGGACAGAGUAAGAGCCUGUCUUGAAGAAAAAAAAAAAAGUCUCCUGGACUGGGAGGCGGUCUGACUUGG
rnacentral:lncRNA from 1 species